UCGAACGAGAACGCGUAUCAAUACAGCUUGUACAGUGGCAAACGGGUGAGUAAUGCAUGGGUAACCUACCCUCUGGUGGGGGAUAACUCCCCGAAAGGGGUGCUAAUACCGACGAUACGCACCGGCCUCGCAAGGGGCUGGUGGAAAGCCGAGCCGAGGGUUCGGCGCCUGGGGAUGGGCUCAUGUCCUAUCAGCUUGUUGGCGGGGUAAUGGCCCACCAAGGCUGCGACGGGUAGCUGGUCUGAGAGGACGACCAGCCACACUGGCACUGCGACACGGGCCAGACUCCUACGGGAGGCAGCAGUGAGGAAUAUUGCGCAAUGGGCGAAAGCCUGACGCAGCGACGCCGCGUGGGGGAUGAAGGCCUUCGGGUUGUAAACCCCUUUCGGGAGGGAAGAUGGGACGGGCAACCGUUCGGACGGUACCUCCAGAAGCAGCCACGGCUAACUCUGUGA
rnacentral:rRNA from 1 species